rnacentral:lncRNA from 1 species
UUUUCCUUAUCCUGGACAGGAGGUGGUAUUGCUUCUUCAUCUUGGACUUUUGUUUCCUUGAUUUCUAAAUCCACCUCUAUUAAUGCAUCUUUUUCUAUAUCAUUUACCACGGUUGACUUUCCACUUCGGGUUGUGACAGCGUUAACAGUGUUAUGUUCCCGCGGAUUUGUCACUGUACCACUAGGUAGGGUUCCAGGGGCUUGAGAGUUUGAUGCCAACUGUUG